rnacentral:rRNA from 1 species
GGGAGGCAGCAGUGAGGAAUAUUGGGCAAUGGGCGCAAGCCUGACCCAGCCACGCCGCGUGAGUGAUGAAGGCCUUCGGGUCGUAAAGCUCUGUGGGGAGGGACGAAACGCUGUCGUCUAAUAGACGGCAGCCUGACGGUACUUCCUUAGCAAGCACCGGCUAACUCCGUGCCAGCAGCCGCGGUAAUACGGAGGGUGCAAACGUUGCUCGGAAUCAUUGGGCGUAAAGCGCAUGUAGGCGGUCCGGCAAGUCGGGUGUGAAAGCCCUCGGCUCAACCGAGGAAGUGCACUCGAAACUAGCGGGCUUGAGUACCGGAGAGGGUGACGGAAUUCCCGGUGUAGAGGUGAAAUUCGUAGAUAUCGGGAGGAACACCAGUGGCGAAGGCGGUCACCUGGCCGGAUACUGACGCUGAGGUGCGAAAGCGUGGGGAGCAAACAGGAUUAGAUACCCCAGU